AUGGCGUUAUCAGCUGCUCCUGCCGGCCAGGCACCGCCGCUGGGGAAGCAGCUCAGCUACCAGCUCGCCGCUGCUGUGAGGAGCAUCAACUGGACUUACGCCAUUUUCUGGUCCAUGUCCACCGGCCUGCGCCCACCUGGAGUUCUGACGUGGAAGGACGGGUUCUACAACGGCGAGGUAAAGACGAGGAAGAUCAUAAGCUUGACUACCACGGAGGUUACCGCAAACGACCUCAUCCUGCAGAGGAGCGAGCAGCUAAGGGAGCUCUACGAGUCUCUCCUGUCCGGCAAGGCGGACCACCGGGGGAGGCGUCCUGCCGCCUCGCUGUCGCCAGAGGAUCUCGGGGAAGCCGAGUGGUACUACACACUGAGCAUGACUUACUCAUUCCGGCCUGGUCAAGGGUUGCCAGGCAAGAGCUUUGCGAGCAAUCAGCAUGUUUGGUUGUACAACGCUCAAUACGCAGACACCAAAGCUUUCAAGCGCGCUCUCUUAGCAAAGACUGCGCCUAUUCAGACAGUCGUUUGCAUUCCCUUCAUGGGUGGUGUGCUGGAGCUUGGGACAUCGGAUUUGGUGCUGGAGGAUCCAGACAUGGUGAACGCGAUCGGCACAUCAUUCUGGGAGCUACCCUUCCAGGCAUGCUUGGAGUCGGAGGCGCCAAGCUCUAGUCCAUCAACAAAUGAAAUCGGAAACGGGGAGGUAGACAUCGUCGUGUUCGAAGACCUUGAUCACAAUGUCGCCGAGAGGUUCAUCUCUGAGCUAGGCGAGGUUGAGAGCAUGUCCGACGCCAACAUCAAUUGCGCCACCAAGGAAGUGGAUGACUUCUAUGACCUCAUUGAGGAGUUGGACGUGUGUGCUCUUGAGGACAACUUGGUCAUGGAAAGGUCCUUUGAGUUCAUGUCUUCCUUGGAAAUGGCGCCAGACAUGGAUGCACUAAGAAUCGAUGAUAACACCAUCACUUUAAGUAGCUCUGUUAAUGGCUCUCGUCCAUCCUGCUUUACCGUAUGGAAGAGGUCAUCAGACUGGGAAGACAUGGAUGUGCGGGAUCUCGGGGAGUCACAAAAGUUGCUGAAGAAAGUUGUGGCGGGCGGUGGAUGGACGAUGAGAGCUCAAGAAAGUAACAUCAAGACACAUGUCUUGUCGGAAAGAAGACACCGGGAGAAGCUCAAUGAGAUGUUCCUAGUUCUCAAGUCAUUGGUCCCGUCCAUUAACAAGAUGGACAAAGCAUCCAUCCUCGCAGAGACGAUAACCUAUCUCAAAGAGCUAGAGCAAAGGGUAGAAGAGCUAGAAUCUAGCAGGGCACCAUCAUGGCACCCAAAAGAAGCAACGGGACGGGGGCUCCAUGAUGUUGCUAGAAGGAAGAAGAUCAAACUAUCAACUGGAUGCAAGAGGAAGGCGCCGGAGUCAGAGAGGGAGGAUGACGAUGGCCCAACCAAUGUUGUCAAUGUGACCAUGAUGGAUAAUGAGGUGAUCUUGGAGGUGCAAUGCCGAUGGAAGAAGCUGUUGAUGACACGAGUGUUCGACGCCAUCAGGAGCCUACGUUUGGACAUCGUCUCCGUGCACACAUCCACACCGGGUGGCCUUCUUGAACUCAAGAUACGAGCCACUCACCAGGUCUCAACCUCACCACCACCUUCUAAGGUCGAUCCGAUAAUAUAUGUAGAAUAUAUAAAGUUUAUUAAGGCUUCACAUUAUAGUCUCAUUUACCAACAUUGUUGGAUCGUUGCAGGUUGCGGCUGGUUCUGGUACUGUGGCACCUGGGAUGAUCACUGA
rnacentral:rRNA from 1 species